UUUUUCCUCGCGUUAUCCCGGCAUUUUGCCACGGCUCAUGGGAGCCUGGGGUCCGCUUGACAACUAAUCCCAUGAUUUGACGUAGGCACUAAGGGUUAACUAGGCCUUAUUGGGAUUAGCCCGGUUUCCUCACGAUGUUUUCGUUCACCGAAAAGCGACUGGUAAAUAUCAAAUUAUAUUUCGUACAUAAGUUCCGAAAAACUCAUUGGUACGAGCCAGGGUUUGAACCCGCGACCUCCAGAUUGCAAGUCGCACGCUCUUACCGCUAGGCCACCAGCGCUU